AGUGAACGCUGGCGGUAUGCCUAACACAUGCAAGUCGAACGGCAGCACAGUAAGAGCUUGCUCUUACGGGUGGCGAGUGGCGGACGGGUGAGGAAUACAUCGGAAUCUACUUUUUCGUGGGGGAUAACGUAGGGAAACUUACGCUAAUACCGCAUACGACCUACGGGUGAAAGCAGGGGAUCUUCGGACCUUGCGCGAUUGAAUGAGCCGAUGUCGGAUUAGCUAGUUGGCGGGGUAAAGGCCCACCAAGGCGACGAUCCGUAGCUGGUCUGAGAGGAUGAUCAGCCACACUGGAAGUGAGAAACGGUCCAGACACCUACAGGAGGACGCAGUGGGGAAUAUUGGACAAUGGGGGAGAGCCUGAUCCAGCAAUACCGCGUGGGGGAAGAAGGACUUCGGGUUGUAAAGCCCUUUUGUUGGGAAAGAAGAGCAGCAGGUUAAUACCCCGCUGUUCUGACGGUACCCAAAGAAUAAGCACCGGCUAACUUCGUG
rnacentral:rRNA from 1 species